UGCAGUCGAACGGCAGCACAGUAAGAGCUUGCUCUUAUGGGUGGCGAGUGGCGGACGGGUGAGGAAUACAUCGGAAUCUACCUUUUCGUGGGGGAUAACGUAGGGAAACUUACGCUAAUACCGCAUACGACCUUCGGGUGAAAGCAGGGGACCUUCGGGCCUUGCGCGGAUAGAUGAGCCGAUGUCGGAUUAGCUAGUUGGCGGGGUAAAGGCCCACCAAGGCGACGAUCCGUAGCUGGUCUGA
rnacentral:rRNA from 1 species